rnacentral:rRNA from 1 species
UACGUAGGGUGCAAGCGUUGUCCGGAAUUAUUGGGCGUAAAGAGCUCGUAGGCGGUUUGUCGCGUCUGCCGUGAAAGUCCGGGGCUCAACUCCGGAUCUGCGGUGGGUACGGGCAGACUAGAGUGAUGUAGGGGAGACUGGAAUUCCUGGUGUAGCGGUGAAAUGCGCAGAUAUCAGGAGGAACACCGAUGGCGAAGGCAGGUCUCUGGGCCGAUACUGACGCUGAGGAGCGAAAGCGUGGGGAGCGAACAGG